rnacentral:misc_RNA from 1 species
AAUGGGAAAUCUUAACAAGACUACUAUGCUGUCUAUGAUACCAGAUUCAGGUUCUGACUACCAUGAAACAAAGGAUGUCGUCCAAAAUGUGGUUGAGUCUGCAAACCAGGGGCUAGAAAAUUUUGAUGAAGGGCAAGGUAUUAAUUUAGAUGCAACAAGGAAAAAACAAACCAUAACCAAUAGUCCUGAGUUUAUAAAAACGCAUAGGCAGCAAUCAAAUGGCAGAACUCAUGGCGAUGCAGUCCUAAAAAUACUGCUGCAAAAGGUGAGAGCACUUGAGUUGAACUUAUCUGUCCUGGAGCAGUACAUUAAAGAGCUG